rnacentral:pre_miRNA from 1 species
UCUUAUGGAUGAGCGAAGAAAAUGGUUUCUUGACACAGAAUCUACUCUCGGUGAAACUGCUGUGAA